AAACCGCAUUGUCGUUUCCGCAACACACCACACAAGUUCGUGGUGGGAAAAAUUGUUUGUGUCGCCCGGGAGAAAAACCGCGUGGGAAGUGUGCCCCGGAGAUCCGAACCAAAGCCACUACACGGCGAAAAGCCAGGCCAGGCCACGUGCAGUCACUGCAUCGGUACAUUCAAGGACGGAAAAGGCAUCAGCCUAAAAAGGGUAGCCCCAGCCUGGAAUCCCGGUCCGGGAGAAGCAAAAGGGUCGCACAAGCAGGCGGCCCUUUCUUUUUUCCCCAUCUGUUUCUAUUUACCCCAUCUACCAUCACGAUCGUGACCUCGGUGGCAAACUCCCAGGGCUGACUGGCGACAUCGGCGUUCCGGUAAAGAGCGACCGACAAUAAGAGUUAUCACCAGCAGGAUCGUUCCUCUUCGGUGCUCCAGGGCGGUCGAGUUUUGAAGAAGAGCACCACCAGUGGCUCUCAAUAGGUGCUCCCGGCGACAAGCAACCGCAGGCGGAAGGAAGACGCCUCUGGUGGUUCUCAGGCCGUGAUCCGAAUAAGGGAGCAGGAGAGGCUCAACCAGCCUAGCUGAUUGUCGCUCCGUGCGAAGAGUGACAAGAAAAAAGGGGAAGAAGCAGCUCACUACUCACCGGCGGCGCUAUUCCGUCAGUGCGCCAAGUGGCGUGGAGUGGCUGAAGCCAAACAGCACCAGUUGUGCUAUUCAGGUGGCGGCGAAGGUGGCUGCAAACCGAGGCAACCGCAGUUCGGGGCGAAUAGCAACCGGCAAGGAAGCAGCUACGCAAGGGCGCGUCCGCGUCACUGCAGGGGCAACGCGUCAUCGUGCAGGCGUGAUUAACACGGGGCGAAUGCCCACAGUGGGACCGGCGAGGCCGAGGCGGAGGAGAUCCCUCCAGGGACGACGAAAUGAAA